CAAACAAAAAAAAAAAAGAAAAAAGGCCCGUAUCAUUCACGAGAUAACAAAACACUCACCAGGGGCUCCAUUGAAGGGGAGGAAAGAAAGAAAAAAAAUACAGCCGUUCGUUUGUGGCACUGAACUGAACUCUCAACUGCCCGGAAAACGCCGCCGCAGCUGCUCAUCGGCCUCUCUAGAAGCGCUUUCUUUUCAAGCCAAUGACGAAUAAGAAAUCCCCAACGACCCCGAAAAAGUUGCAAGAGAAUAAUGCCAUUAAGGAAGAGCCAAAGCCUUCUUCUGCACCAAAAAAAACAGUUAGUGAAAUUGACGAAAUAUUCGCUGGGAAAAAGAGAAAGAAAUCUGAUGUGAAAAAGACUGGAAAAGCCCGUGAAGCAACUAAAAGUAAUGAUAAAACUAACAAGAAGAAACCAAAACGGCUAGAUGAGAGUGAGUUUGUGGACCGGCCUUCUCGAUCAAGAAAGAAAACAGAAGAUGGGCUUACCAUCUAUACGGAAGAGGAGUUAGGUCUUAGUAAAGGGGAUGCUGGAAAUACCCCGUUGUGUCCAUUUGAUUGUUCUUGCUGCUUUUGAUGGAAGCUUCAUAAUGGUUUUUGAACUCAUUUCCUUGAUCCAAUGGACGAAGUUGUUGUGAUUGUAUUACAUGCUUUAUUAUAUUUAUAGUUGGGCCAAUUAAUUUCAAUUUGGCAACUGUUUUAGUUCAGCUCUUAUAGGAUUCAUCCCCUUGAAACGGAAUUGUUCAUGUGUAAUGUCUCUGCGAGACGGUUUGGUUAGAAAAUGGAAGAAAUGUUUUGGUGUGGUUGAAUGAUGUUAUAGUUUGUCUUUCUUCUA